rnacentral:rRNA from 1 species
CAGCAGCCACGGUAAUACAGAGGAUGCAAGCGUUAUCCGGAAUGAUUGGGCGUAAAGCGUCUGUAGGUGGCUUUUCAAGUCCGCCGUCAAAUCCCAGGGCUCAACCCUGGACAGGCGGUGGAAACUACCAAGCUGGAGUACGGUAGGGGCAGAGGGAAUCUCCGGUGGAGCGGUGAAAUGCGUUGAGAUCGGAAAGAACACCAACAGCGAAAUCACUCCGCUGGGCCGACACUGACACUGAGAGACAAAAGUUAGGGGAGCAAAUGGGAUUAGAUACCCGCGUAGUCCCUGUCUCUUAUAA